rnacentral:lncRNA from 1 species
GUCCGAGUUUAUCUGUACCUAACCGUUUGACAUAGAUCGGGUGUUGGGAAUAGUGUCCCAAAGCCAAUCAUCAGCCUGUUGACAGUUGUGCUCUUUGUUGUAUUAGUACAUAAAUUAUAAAUAAAUAAAAGUUAUUUUGAUAUUUUUCAUCAUAAAUUAUUUCAUCUUCUAAUGAACUCCUGUGUUGUGGUGAAGUCCUUAGGACUAUUUA